rnacentral:rRNA from 1 species
ACUCUUUCGAGGCCCUGUAAUUGGAAUGAGUACACUUUAAAUCCCUUAACGAGGAACAAUUGGAGGGCAACUCUGGUGCCAGCAGCCGCGGUAAUUCCAGCUCCAAUAGCGUAUCUUAAAGUUGCUGCAGUUAAAAAGCUCGUAGUUGGGGACCUCGGGAUCGGGCUGGCGGUCAGCCGCGAGGCGAGCUACCGCCUGUCCCAGCCCCUGCCUCUCGGCCCCCCUCGAUGCUCUUAACUGAGUGUCCCGCGGGGUUCCGAAGAGUUUACUUUGAAAAAAUUAGAGUAUUCAAAGCAGGCCCGGUCGCCUGAAUACGCAGCUAGGAAUAAUGGAAUAGGACUCCGGUUCUAUUUUGUGGGUUUUUCUUCUGAACUGGGGCCCAUGAUUAAGAGGGACGGCCGGGGGCAUUCGUAUUGUGCCGCUAGAGGGGUGAAAUUCUUGGACCGGCGCAAGACGAACGAAGGUGAAAUUCUUGGACCGGCGCAAGACGAACGAAGCGAAAGCAUUUGCCAAGAAUUUUUUAUUAAUCAAGAACGAAAGUCGGAGGUUCGAAGACGAUCAGAUACCGUCGUAGUUCCGACCAUAACGAUGGCCAACCCGCGAUCCGGCGGCGUUAUCCCCAUGACCCGCCGGGCAGCGUCCGGUAACCAAAGGUCUUUGGGUUCCGGGGGGAGUAUGGAUGCAAAGCUGAAACUUAAAGGAAUUGACGGAAGGGCACCACCAGGAGUGGAGCCUGCGGCUUAAUUUGACCCAACACGGGAAACCUUGUCAAUCCUCACCCGGCGGACACGGGUGAGGAUUGACAGAUUGAUAGCUCUUUCUCGAUUCUGUGGGUGGUGGUGCAUGGCCCGUUCUUAGUUUGUGGAGCGAUUUGUCUGUUAAUUCCGAUAACGAACGAGACUCCCGCCAUGCUAACUAGUUAUGCGGCCCCGAGCGGUCGGUGUCCAACUUCUUAGAGGGACAAGUGGUCGUUCAGCCACACGAGAUUGAGCAAUAACAGGUCUGUGAUGCCCUGAUGUCCGGGGCUGCACGCGCGCCACACUGAGCGGAUCAGCGUGUGUCUACCCUUCGCCGAGAGGCGUGGGUAACCCGAUGAACCCCCUCGUGAUAGGGUUGGGGAUUGCAAUUUAUUUCCCAUCAACGAGNNNNNNNNGGUUGCCAGCCGCCGGCAUGGGGCUGUGCUCC